rnacentral:rRNA from 1 species
AAUAUUGGACAAUGGGCGAAAGCCUGAUCCAGCCAUGCCGCGUGUGUGAAGAAGGUCUUCGGAUUGUAAAGCACUUUAAGUUGGGAGGAAGGGCAGUAAGUUAAUACCUUGCUGUUUUUACGUUACCGACAGAAUAAGCACCUGCUAACUUCGUGCCGUCAGCCGCGGUAAUACGAAGGGUGCAAGCGUUAAUCGGAAUUACUGGGCGUAAAGGGCGCGUUGGUUGUUUGUUAAGUUGGAAGUGAAAGCCCCGGGGUCAAACUGGGAACCGCUUUACAAACUGGGAAGCUAGGGUAAGGGAGAAGGUGGGUGAAAUUCCUUUGUUGGGGUAAAAAUGGUAGAGAAAGGAAGGGACACCAGUGGGGAAGGCGGCCACCUGGGGUUAUUCUGACCCUUAGGUUGGAAAGCGUGGGGGGCAAAA